rnacentral:rRNA from 1 species
UGAGGAAUAUUGCGCAAUGGGGGCAACCCUGACGCAGCGACGCCGCGUGAGUGAGGAAGGCCUUCGGGUCGUAAAGCUCUGUCAAAGGGAAAGAAAUGUAUAAUGGCCAAUACCUGUUAUAUUUGACGGUACCCUUAAAGGAAGCACCGGCUAACUCCGUGCCAGCAGCCGCGGUAAUACGGAGGGUGCAAGCGUUGUUCGGAAUCACUGGGCGUAAAGGGCGCGCAGGCGGUUUGGUAAGUCAGAUGUGAAAGCCCACGGCUUAACCGUGGAAGUGCAUUUGAAACUGCCAGACUUGAGUACCAGAGGGCAAAGUGGAAUUCCCGGUGUAGAGGUGAAAUUCGUAGAUAUCGGGAGGAAUACCGGUGGCGAAGGCGACUUUCUGGCUGGAUACUGACGCUGAGGCGCGAAAGCGUGGGGAGCAAACA